GCAUGCGUUCCAUUAGAUAGUUGGUGAGGUAACGGCUCACCAAGUCCACGAUGGAUAGGGGUUCUGAGAGGAAGGUCCCCCACACUGGUACUGAGACACGGACCAGACUCCUACGGGAGGCAGCAGUGAGGAAUAUUGGUCAAUGGGCGAGAGCCUGAACCAGCCAAGUCGCGUGAAGGAUGAAGGAUCUAUGGUUUGUAAACUUCUUUUAUAUGGGAAUAAAGUGAGGAACGUGUUCCUUUUUGUAUGUACCAUAUGAAUAAGCAUCGGCUAACUCCGUGCCAGCAGCCGCGGUAAUACGGAGGAUGCGAGCGUUAUCCGGAUUUAUUGGGUUUAAAGGGUGCGUAGGUGGUUAAUUAAGUCAGCGGUGAAAGUUUGUGGCUCAACCAUAAAAUUGCCGUUGAAACUGGUUGACUUGAGUAUAUUUGAGGUAGGCGGAAUGCGUGGUGUAGCGGUGAAAUGCAUAGAUAUCACGCAGAACUCCGAUUGCGAAGGCAGCUUACUAAACUAUAACUGACACUGAAGCACGAAAGCGUGGGGAUCAAACAGGAUUAGAUACCCUGGUAGUCCACGCA
rnacentral:rRNA from 1 species